GCGGAGGACCUAGUCUUGAGCUGAAGAGAGGAGGCACACGGUCCUAUCCUGGGAUACCAGCCUGGCACGGGAUGGGAGGGAUUGAAUAAAAUUGACUCUUCUGGGAAGCGAUGGCGGACCUGGCGGCGCGGACAGUUCACAGACCCCUGGGAUAGAGAAACUGAAAUCAAAGCUAUGAAGAAAUCACAUCAUGUAAGCUGUUGAUGUCACAGAAGUCCAAGAUACCUGAUUGGGCAUAGGAGCUUAGAUCUGGAACUAGAAGGGAUCUCAGAAGCCAAGGGAAGGAGGAGACAAGCAUUUAUUAAGUGCCUACUAUGAGCCAGGUACUGUGCAAGCCUUGGGAGAAAUGUGGAGUUGGAACACACCAGGCACUAAGCUGUUUGAUAGUUAUUAGAUGAAUAACCAUUAUAGGAAAUGACCACCAGGUUUUGCCUAGGCACCAAAGAUUAAAACUGUAUCCUGGGUCCUCACCAGUCCUCUCGACUUUUGUUUUUCCAUUUGGAUAGAUUGCUUUAGAAGAAAGAAUGAGGCUGAUGAUUUUUUGCAGCUCUGCCUCACUUAAAUCCAAUUUUUCAGAGGUGAAAAGACAUCGCCCAUACCAUCUUACAUUUUAGUAUUUUACUAUCCAGCCAAAAUUUUCAUAUGGACUAUUCAGUCCUAUAGGAUACCUUGAACUUUGGUAAAACUGUCUCUAAGGGACCCACCCUGUAACAAGCUGAGGGUGCCCCAGGUGCUACAUGUUUAAUUGCAAAUAACAAAAACAAAGCAAAACUGGAAGCAACCCAAAUAUUCAAUUAUAGGGAAUGAUUAAAUUGUGGUAGAGAAAUUCAAUGAAAUAUAAUAAUGCAAGCAAUAUUAAAGAAUUAAAAGAAAUCAUGAAUUACAUUACACUCUGGACUUCUUGCUAGCAAAUUCAUUUACUAGACUAGAAAUCAUGCCCUAGAGAAUUUAACCCUUUCAACUUCUAGAAUAGCCCAUUCUCCUCUCCCUCUCACAAUUGUUAAGUUAUCUCAGAGGUCCAAGACAUUUACAACUGGCUCCAAAAGGCUCCUCUCAAUAGCUGCCUUUUUACACUAUUUGUGUCUUCCAUGUCCCCUCUUUCUGUUUUUGAACCAUAAUCAAAUCAAAUCAAUCUGUCACAUCUACAAGGAAGGGUGUCAGUCUACUUCACAAUGGUUCUACUCAUCACCCCUACAACUUUCUAAACCAAAAAUAUGCAUACUAAUCCAUCAAACAUCUAUGUGCAAUUGGAAUGUAAGCUUCUUCCAAGGCAAGGACUAUUGUCUUUGCUUUUACGUUUCUGUCCCAAUUCUUAGUAUGGUGCUUACUUGGCACAUAGCACUUAAUAAAUGAUUUUUCAUUUAAAUAGAAAAUUUCAAAAAGUAGAUAGCAUAACUAUGAGCAUAAGGUGGAAAUUGCUAGUGUAACAAGGGGUUAGAGAAUGUACAGAGCAUAUCAUCCUCAUUAAAUUUUCAAAUGUAAAUAUAUAGUUAAAAAGCAACCUUAUAGUUGGUUAUAAUGUUAUAAUGAUUAAUAGUUAAGGUUUUUAUAAAAACAUUAAAUUUAAAAAAACACUUGAGUGUCACAAUUUAGGGUGCUGGAAAUAGGCUUAAUUUUCUUUUCUUAGCUCCCAAAUUCCUUUACAUUUAUAUUUUCCCAGGAGUAUUCCUUAACCUUCCCAGGAGUAUUCCUUAACCUCAAAACUUCCCAGAUCCAGUGUUCAUAGGUUCUGUCUAUAUAGUUCAAAAUCCCAUAUCUGCUUUACAACUUGUUGCACUUGAUUAAAGUUACACAUUUAUAGCCACUCUAGUCUUCUAUUAAGAAAAGUAGAAAAAUUCAAUCUUUUUUUUUUUUUUAUGAAAAGUAGAAAAGUAAUAAGGGACUGGGGGCCACAGUCCAUAGGGUUAAGUUAAACUAUUUUUUUUUACUCUAGAGUCCCCACUAUCUACCCAAGUAUCACUUCUGUAGCUAGUAGCAGUAAUGAAAAUGAGUAAAGCAGUCAUCUAUCCAUAUUUUAAUGCAUAAUAUCCCUCCCACGCUUCUCUGUGUUGUACUCCACCCCACCCCUCAACUUUUAGUAUUUGUAUAUAUACUUUCUUCCUCCUAUUGUACAAAAUAUUACUGAAGGUACCGUUUGGUGGCCAAUUUCUCUAGUCUUUCUCACUGACUUACAACAGAUACUCUCAAAAUAAAUUCUAUUAAUUUAAGGACAUGUCAGUAAUGAACACUAAAUACUGAACAACUUUACAGGAAAGAGACUAGUAGAAAUACAUUUUUUCUAUUCACAAAUUCUGUAGAUACACAUAUUAGAACCUUUUCAACAGCAAAUAAAAAAAAAACUUCCUUUUGAUUUAUUAAUUGUAAUUGCCUGUUAAUUAAUCUCCUUGUGUUUCUGGAUCUUUCUUUUGCUCCUUUCACAUUCUACAUCGAACUAUAUUUAUGGGUGGCAUGUCUCCUAGGACACUGUAAGCUCUUUGAGAGCAGGACCUAUUCAUCUUUGUAAACAGCACUGUGCAUAGGACAAACUAGGACUUACACAAGGGGCUGGUCAAUGUGCAAAGCCUAUCAGAGGACUAAGACAAGGGGCUGGUCAAUGUGCAAAGCCUAUCAGAGGACUAAGAUAAUGCAAAUUAUCUGUGUGAGAGAGGCUGGAGAACCUGCUCCUAAGAGAGUUGUAAUAAUUGAUGUAUAAUAAAGUGCUUUGGAGAGACCCUGAAGAACAUGUUCAUAACAGUAAAUAGUUCCAUAGUCUGUUAACAAGACUUUUCUUUCAGUUGCCCAAAGAGGUGGAACUUGGUGUGAUGUCUUUUUUUAAACAGGCAUUAUUUGCAAUGAUCCAGGACAAUCCUAAGGAACUUAUGAGAAAGGACACUAUCCACAUCCAGAGAAAGAAGUGUGGAAGUGGAAACACAGAAGAACAACAUAUGAUUGAUCACAUGGUUCCAGCAUAUAUGACUGGGGAUUUUGACUUUGAAUGAUCACUCUAUUGCAAAUAUUAAUAUUAUGAAAAUGGCUUUUGAACAUCUGUGGAAUUGCUCAUCAGCUUUGGGAGGGAGGAGGGAGGAGGGAAGAGCGAGGAAAGAAUCAUGUAACCAUGGAAAAAUAUUCUUAAUUAAUUAAUUAAAAUUAAAUAAAAAGGAAUUAACUAGA